rnacentral:rRNA from 1 species
CCUACGGGAGGCAGCAGUGAGGAAUAUUGGACAAUGGGCGCAAGCCUGAUCCAGCCAUGCCGCGUGCAGGAAGACGGUCCUAUGGAUUGUAAACUGCUUUUAUACAGGAAGAAACACCUCUACGUGUAGAGACUUGACGGUACUGUAUGAAUAAGCAUCGGCUAACUCCGUGCCAGCAGCCGCGGUAAUACGGAGGAUGCAAGCGUUAUCCGGAAUCAUUGGGUUUAAAGGGUCCGUAGGCGGUUUAAUAAGUCAGUGGUGAAAGCCCAUCGCUCAACGAUGGAACGGCCAUUGAUACUGUUAAACUUGAAUUAUUAGGAAGUAACUAGAAUAUGUAGUGUAGCGGUGAAAUGCUUAGAGAUUACAUGGAAUACCAAUUGCGAAGGCAGGUUACUACUAAUAUAUUGACGCUGAUGGACGAAAGCGUGGGGAGCGAACAGGAUUAGAUACCCUGGUAGUCCACGCCGUAAACGAUGGAUACUAGCUGUUCGGAGCAAUNUNGUGNGAGAGAAGAGAGUAAGUAGUACCACCGUCGGGUAGGUACGUUCGUUCGAGAAGUUAGAACGUUAACGAAGGAAGUUAGACGGACGNGAGACGACGACGACGACGACGAGGAGGAGGAG